GGGGGAACAGAAAGUGAUUUUCUUUUUCUCCUUCCACAUCUAUGUGUGUGAAAGUGUGUGUGAUGGAGAGAAAGUAAGAAAGAAGGAGAUGUACAGAAGUCACCAGUGUAAGAGAGACAAUGGCACGCUACACAGGUGAGGAAGCUCUACAGAUGGUCCUGGAUAGUGAGGAAUAGUUCACAUUUUCCUCCGAAGAAGAGCGGGAAUCCGACGAGGAACGUUUACAUUUUGAAGAGCAACUUGAUCCAGCCGAGGAUACAAUUUCGGAUGAGAUGCUGAAAUACCAUUCUGACGAAUGCUGCUGCUAACUGAGGGGGAAAAUGCUAAUAGUCCAGAAAUACUAAUGAAACAUGGCGCAAAUGCAGCAAGCCGCACUGAGUGCUCUAAGCAGACUGAAGAAGAAAAAUGCCCCCAGAAAGGAACUCCCAAGAGCACUGUUAUUCAAACAGUGAUGAAGGAAAAGAGAAGUGAGUCAGCUGUAACCUCAGCAUGCCACUAGGAUGUCACCUAUUAACAGAUAUAACAGUAAACCUGAUGGGUACUUACUGCAAAACUAUACACAUGUAUCACAAUACAUUUUGUAACACACCAUUUAUAUAAUUUAUAUAAUUACAGAAAUGGUUAGCAAGCAAUUUUAUCACACUAAAAUCACGUUAACACGCAUGUUGUUUAUGUCUUUUUAAACGGUGAGUAUUUUAAGGCCCCAUUCACUUCAACUGUAAGUGCCACACUGUAACACAGGUUUUAGCUUUUUUUUUUUUUUUAAGGAGGAGGAACAAGUUCAAAUUCAUUUUUGUGGUAAUCAACAUUAUGCCACAAAUGCUGUAGUUUCAUCUUAAGUUGUACUGAAGCCUGAAUGUUCCUUUUAAAUAGUAGAGAUCAAAGUGAAUUGACUGUAUGUUGUGAGUCGAAUUACUUCAAAAGCAUUGCAUUCAGUUAUUAAAAUUAACAAAUGCCAAAGCACUCAAAAGCAUUAUAAUAAUAACAAUACUGACACUUUGUGUAAGUGUAUAAAUUCAAUACUGUUAGAGUAGUAGUAUAACAUAUUUUUAUUGAUUUCUCAGCCUCUAAUCCUGUGCAUCCAUAAUGGCAACCAUAUGAAAUGAACAAAUGAUACAGGCCUAAAUAUUGGUAAAAUAUAGUAUUUCAUCUGCCUUAUGUUGGAUGGCCAGUACGAAGAUGGUGAUUUCUGGAGAGCUCAAACCCGACUCAUCCGUCUCUCCUGAUGCUACCAUAAUAUACAGUAGUUUCUUCGACUUCGGGUACUUUUAACACUGUGGAUCAGUAAAAAUAUUCAUGAAAAUUCCCACCAAAGUGUCAUUUCUAGCACAUCUCAAAUUCUGUAUUGUGUUUAAUAGAAUUCUGUUGUGGAAAUGACGGUGAUGAAAAUAAAGUUCUUUUUUUUUUUUUUUUUUUUUUUUACAUUUCUAAAAUAAAAUGGGCAACUCCUUUGUCUUGCUAAAAAAUAUGAAAAAAUUGUUAAUAUUAUUAUGGGUAUUGUAUUUUUUUUUUAUUUUAUUUUUUUACAUUUUGAUGUGUAGAAGGUGAUCUAACAAUGCAAAAUGAA